rnacentral:rRNA from 1 species
GCUAAAAGCCUAGCUCCAACCAUACUUAUGCAACCUCUCCACCUUAUUUCUUAAAACUAAAACAUUUUAACAAUUUAGUAAAGGAGAUUGAAAAAUUUAUUGAAGCAAUAUAGUUAGUACCGCAAGGGAAAGAUGAAAUAUGAAUGAAAAAUCUUUAAGCAAGAUAAAGUAGAGAUUUACCCUCGUACCUUUUGCAUCAUGGUUCAACUAGUCCAACCAAGCAAAAAGCAUUAUAGUUUGACACCCCGAAACUAGGCGAGCUACUUCGAGGCAGCCUUUAGAGCUAACCCGUCUCUGUGACAAAAGAGUGGGAAGACCACCAAGUAGCGGCGACAAACCAACCGAGCCUAGUGAUAGCUGGUUACUCAAGAAAAGGAUUUAAGUCCAACCUAAAGCCCUCCUCUUACACCAAAAAUACCUUGACUUUAGAGCAAUUCAAAUAAGGUACAGCCUAUUUGAAACAGGAUACAACCUCACCUGAUGGCUAAAAUUUAUUUUAUAACUUCAAGUUGGCCUAAAAGCAGCCAUCUUUUAAAAAGCGUCACAGCUUAGUCCUAAACUAACUUCAAUCCCAUGCCUAUAUUUUAACCCUCUAUUAGUACUGAGUAAUUCUAUACCAUUAUAGAAGAUUUUAUGUUGAAACUAGUAACAAGAAGUUAGACCUUCUCUUAAAUGCAAGCAUAAAUCAGAAAGGACCGACCACUGAUAAUUAACGCCAAUGAUCACCAAUCAGCAACUUCCAAAGAAAAAUCUUAUUAUCACCAGCGUUAACCUGACACAAGAGCAUUUCAAGAAAGAUUUAAAGAAAGAGAAGGAACUCGGCAAACAUUAACCCCGCCUGUUUACCAAAAACAUCGCCUCUUGAAUAAAAAUAAGAGGUCCAGCCUGCCCAGUGACUAAUGUUCAACGGCCGCGGUAUCCUAACCGUGCAAAGGUAGCG